rnacentral:misc_RNA from 1 species
AACCGGGGAGCGGGUUGGGCAUCACAAUCCGCGCUUCCCCGACUUUGGCCGAUUGGUAGGGCAGCUUGACCCAGGUGCGUUCGAGCGGGGCUCCGUGCAGAUCCAUCCGUCCCCCGCAGCAGAUCACGGCGGGGCACGAUUCUUUGUCCAUGCCUUCGAUGUAGUGCAGACGAAUCCAUGCCGUGAACUCGGGAGAAAGAGGAGCUUCCGGGCGGCCGAUUUCUAAAGCCGGCCGGCCGGCGGGCGCCGGGAGUUCUCCGUUGGAAUCCUUUUGAUCCAAGGGGGCGCCGGCCUGGCAGUCGAAACCUUCCUCGCAGUAAUGAUCAAGAUCCUCAAUGCGAAUCAGCCCCACCUCAAG